UGAGUAACACGUAUCCAACCUGCCGUCUACUCUUGGCCAGCCUUCUGAAAGGAAGAUUAAUCCAGGAUGGCAUCAUGAGUUCACAUGUCCGCAUGAUUAAAGGUAUUUUCCGGUAGACGAUGGGGAUGCGUUCCAUUCGAUAGUAGGCGGGGUAACGGCCCACCUAGUCAACGAUGGAUAGGGGUUCUGAGAGGAAGGUCCCCCACAUUGGAACUGAGACACGGUCCAA
rnacentral:rRNA from 1 species